ACCACUCCCCUUCCUCUCUCCUCGCCGCCAGUCCUGGGGAGCCAUACUACGGUAAUUAGGUCGCGCCGCGCUCAGCCGUCGCCGUCUCUACCGCAGGCACCCACGCUUCCCAAUCCCUCUGCCGCCGUACCUACCAUCGCAGCCCCUUCUCCCUUCCCCGCCGUCUCGUUUUCGGGAGAAUGACGUCCUCGCCGCAGCGCGGUCGGUUCAAGCGCAGGCGUGGCUGUGGCUUGAGGGCCCCCUCGGUGGUGUUGCCAUGUUCUCCAAUUGGUCCUGCUGCUACUCAGAUUCUUCCAGUUCGUCCUGCUGCUACUCAGAUUAUCCCAAAUCGAAAAGCGUGAGAAGUUGCUAUCAUUUGUCGCUUCCAAAGUACCUGUGAUGGAAAUUUCCAUACCAGGUGAUACCAGGAAGUAUGUCAAAUCCUCUGAUCCUGCUAGACACACCACCACUGCCAUUGUGCAUUGGCUAUGUGAUCUCCAUAACCAUGGUUGGACACUGGAUGGGCAAUUUGAUGCUUCAGAUUUUGGUAUUACUCGUCUCGGUGCUCUUAAAGGAGAAAUACACCUCAUGAAUAAGUUGAAGAAGCUCGGAGGGCAGAUGAGGUGGAAGGACAUGGAAGCAGGGGCCAAUAUGAUCGAGCACGCUGUAUAUUUUGAUGGUUUACUAGUUGGACUGCCUGUUGACACCGAGAACCUAAUAUCGCUGAUGAGGAACUUCAAGCGCAAAAAAUAUUUUCUGAUUAAGUUCCAUAUUUGCCAUGACAAUGAAGCAAUGAAAUAUUCUGUGUUUGUUGUGAUGUAUAACCGGCUGAUGAUAAUUCAGGCUCUGGACAAUGUAAAGUACAGAAGAAUCAUAAACAAGAUUCAGUGUGGCAUGAAGAACAGGAUUGACAGAUCUAAGAAGAAUCUCAACCAUGGCCAGGCUCAUUUUGUAAAAGAUGACUCUGUUGACAUUUGGAGUCGGCAAGUAGGUUUAGUGGCAGCGAUAGCAGCUUCAGAGAAGCUUGCAGCAUCAAAGAAGCUCGUGGCGGCUGGGACAGCAGGAACUCAACCACCGCCACCACAACAGGCAGUAGUCGCAGAUCAAGCGGAGCACAUGUAUAGUGUCAUAGUGCCUAAGAUGUUGUGUCAGUUUCAGAAGGCUAUGCACAUGGAAGGCGAACUACAUAAUCUCGGGUGGUAUGAAGAGUCACUUGUCCGCCUCAUUCGCAAAUGACCUGAUCAUGGUCAGUGGAGUAUCAUGUGGAUCUAGCUAUAGGGUUUAGGUGAGCUUUAGCAGCAGAAAAUAUUGGGAUCUAGCUUAGUACUAUGGUUGUAAAAUGUGUUCCUGAAUUGUUCGCUACUAUGGGUCUUUGGCAAAUUUUGGGUAGCAACUGAUGGCGGUAAUGGUUGUUGGCAAGUGAUGGCCACUAUCAAUGAUGUAGCAACGACAGUUGCAUGCUUAAGUUCUGAAUUGGUGUGUGAUUGGACAUCAACAAUAUGUGUGCUUCAGGAUCAGUUGUGACUGAUCUGGUCAGACCUAGUACUUAAGGAUUUGUAUCUUGAUCUAAUAAUGUCUUAUGUUUAACAUCUGGUGGCCUCAUACUUUGCUUAUCAGUUGUCUUGUACCAGUUAGCUUGGGAUUGAAACUAUUAACUAUAAUUUUAAUGUUCUC